UACGAAGGGGGCGAGCGUUGCUCGGAAUGACUGGGCGUAAAGGGCGCGUAGGCGGUUUGCACAGUCGGGCGUGAAAUUCCAGGGCUCAACCUUGGGGCUGCGUUCGAGACGUGUGGGCUAGAGUGUGGAAGAGGAGUGUGGAAUUCCCGGUGUAGCGGUGAAAUGCGCAGAUAUCGGGAAGAACACCCGUGGCGAAGGCGGCACUCUGGGACGGUACUGACGCUGAGACGCGAAAGCGUGGGGAGCGAACAGG
rnacentral:rRNA from 1 species